UACGUAGGGUCCGAGCGUUGUCCGGAUUUAUUGGGCGUAAAGAGCUCGUAGGCGGUUCCGUAAGUCAGAUGUGAAAACUCAGGGCUCAACCCGGAGACGCCAUCUGAUACUGCGGUGACUGGAGUCUGGUAGGGGAACACGGAAUUCCUGGUGUAGCGGUGAAAUGCGCAGAUAUCAGGAGGAACACCGGUGGUGUAGACGGCUUUCUGGACCGUAACUGACGCUGAGACACGAAAGCGUGGGUAGCAAACAGG
rnacentral:rRNA from 1 species